UGAUGCGCCAUGCCGCGUGUGUGAAGAAGGCCUUCGGGUUGUAAAGUACUUUCAGUUGUGAGGAAGGGGGUGUCGUUAAUAGCGGCAUCUCUUGACGUUAGCCACAGAAGAAGCACCGGCUAACUCCGUGCCAGCAGCCGCGGUAAUACGGAGGGUGCGAGCGUUAAUCGGAAUUACUGGGCGUAAAGCGCAUGCAGGUGGUUCGUUAAGUCAGAUGUGAAAGCCCGGGGCUCAACCUCGGAACUGCAUUUGAAACUGGUGAACUAGAGUACUGUAGAGGGGGGUAGAAUUUCAGGUGUAGCGGUGAAAUGCGUAGAGAUCUGAAGGAAUACCAGUGGCGAAGGCGGCCCCCUGGACAGAUACUGACACUCAGAUGCGAAAGCGUGGGGAGCAAACAGGAUUAGAUACCCUGGUAGUCCACGCCGUAAACGAUGUCUACUUGGAGGUUGUGGUCUUGAGCCGUGGCUUUCGGAGCUAACGCGUUAAGUAGACCGCCUGGGGAGUACGGUCGCAAGAUUAAAACUCAAAUGAAUUGACGGGGGCCCGCACAAGCGGUGGAGCAUGUGGUUUAAUUCGAUGCAACGCGAAGAACCUUACCUACUCUUGACAUCCAGAGAAGCCAGCGGAGACGCAGGUGUGCCUUCGGGAGCUCUGAGACAGGUGCUGCAUGGCUGUCGUCAGCUCGUGUUGUGAAAUGUUGGGUUAAGUCCCGCAACGAGCGCAACCCUUAUCCUUGUUUGCCAGCGAGUAAUGUCGGGAACUCCAGGGAGACUGCCGGUGAUAAACCGGAGGAAGGUGGGGACGACGUCAAGUCAUCAUGGCCCUUACGAGUAGGGCUACACACGUGCUACAAUGGCGCAUACAGAGGGCAGCGAACUUGCGAGAGUGAGCGAAUCCCAAAAAGUGCGUCGUAGUCCGGAUUGGAGUCUGCAACUCGACUCCAUGAAGUCGGAAUCGCUAGUAAUCGUAGAUCAGAAUGCUACGGUGAAUACGUUCCCGGGCCUUGUACACACCGCCCGUCACACCAUGGGAGUGGGCUGCAAAAGAAGUGGGUAGUUUAACCUUUCGGGGGGCACUCUCCCC
rnacentral:rRNA from 1 species